rnacentral:rRNA from 1 species
GGGCCUACGGGUGGCUGCAGUGGGGAAUAUUGGACAAUGGGCGAAAGCCUGAUCCAGCCAUGCCGCGUGUGUGAAGAAGGUCUUCGGAUUGUAAAGCACUUUAAGUUGGGAGGAAGGGCAGUAAGCUAAUACCUUGCUGUUUUGACGUUACCAACAGAAUAAGCACCGGCUAACUCUGUGCCAGCAGCCGCGGUAAUACAGAGGGUGCAAGCGUUAAUCGGAAUUACUGGGCGUAAAGCGCGCGUAGGUGGUUCAGCAAGUUGGAUGUGAAAUCCCCGGGCUCAACCUGGGAACUGCAUCCAAAACUACUGAGCUAGAGUACGGUAGAGGGUGGUGGAAUUUCCUGUGUAGCGGUGAAAUGCGUAGAUAUAGGAAGGAACACCAGUGGCGAAGGCGACCACCUGGACUGAUACUGACACUGAGGUGCGAAAGCGUGGGGAGCAAACAGGAUUAGAUACCCGAGUAGUC